AGACGUGUGAGAAAGGCUUGGCGUGGACCUGAGGGAGGGAAGGUGGUUCUCGUGGGCCCUAGGCUCGCCUACCUGGGCGCUGUCUGAAGUGGGAAGAGGCCGCGGAGGCCAUUGUGGGCCUGACGCCUGGGCUGUAGGCCUGAAGCCUGGGCGAGAAGAAGCCACAGAAGGUCCUGAAGUCCUUAUGCCUGUAUUCAAUACAUAACUGAAAGAUUUGAUGAUGAAAGAUAUUUCCAUAAAAACAGAGCCUCAGGAAUCAGUGCGAUUUGAAGAUGUGGCUGUGUACUUCACAGAGCAGGAACUGGCCAGCUUCACACUUGAUCAGAAGGCCCUGUACAAGGAGGUGGUGCUUGAGAACGUUGCACAUGUGGCUUUUCUGGGGUACAUUGCAAAACUGAGGAAGUAUGCUCAACUGGCUGGAACAGAAACAUCCAGGGUGAAGGCAUUCCUCUAAGUCAGGUGUACCAGGAAGGCAGAGCUGUGUCAUUGCUGUCAAGUGCAGACUUUUCUGUAGUCACGCAUAUUUCUGUAGACAUAGUGCUUUUUAGUUCAUUAAAGUUGUUCAUUAUCAUGGGCAAAGCA
rnacentral:sRNA from 1 species